GCCAGGUGUGGUGGCUCACACCUGUAAUCCAAGCAUUUUGGAGGCCAAGGCAGGCGGAUCACCUGAGGUUGGGAGUUCAAGACCAGCCUGACCAACAUGGUGAAACCCUGUCUUUU
ensembl:misc_RNA Metazoa_SRP Metazoan signal recognition particle RNA